rnacentral:rRNA from 1 species
AUUGAACGCUGGCGGCAGGCCUAACACAUGCAAGUCGAACGAGUGGCGGACGGGUGAGUAAUGUCUGGGAAACUGCCAGAUGGAGGGGGAUAACUACUGGAAACGGUAGCUAAUACCGCAUACCAUCGGAUGUGCACAGAUGGGAUUAGCUAGUAGGUGGGGUAACGGCUCACCUAGGCGACGAUCCCUAGCUGGUCUGAGAGGAUGACCAUCCACACUUGACCUUAGUCACGGUCCCUACUCCUACGGGAGGCAUCAGUGGGCAAUAUCGCACCAUGGGCGUCACCCCGCUGCAGCCACGCCCGUUGGAUGAAGACGGCCUCCUGCUUGUUAAGUACGUUCCGCGCGGCGCCCUUAUUCGCCGAAGAAGCACCUGCUAACCCCGUGCCAGCCGCCGCGGUAAUUC